UACGGAGGGAGCUAGCGUUGUUCGGAUAUACUGGGCGUAAAGCGCACGUAGGCGGCGCAGCAAGUCAGGGGUGAAAUCCCGGAGCUCAACUCCGGAACUGCCCUUGAAACUGCAGUGCUAGAAUCCUGGAGAGGCGAGUGGAAUUCCGAGUGUAGAGGUGAAAUUCGUAGAUAUUCGGAAGAACACCAGUGGCGAAGGCGACUCGCUGGACAGGUAUUGACGCUGAGGUGCGAAAGCGUGGGGAGCAAACAGG
rnacentral:rRNA from 1 species